GCUGAUUCUCUUUGUACAAAUCUUAGAAGGAAGAUGAGUUAGCAAUAGGAUUUAAAAAAAAAAUAGGAGGGGCUUAUCCCUCAAUAGGCAUUUUUCUCAUAGUGGAACUCUGUACAUUGAGUGUGGGCUUCUCUCCUAGGUGGGAACUGAGGAUUGAACCUAAAACUACUGAAUCCAGUGGCUGAACAUGUGGAACUGUGAAGGCAUUAAGGAGUAAAGGGAUGACUCAAUGGGCUGCCCAUGGCGGCAGCAACAAAUUCGUCAUCUAUACUGCAGCCAGGAUUUAUUUUUCCUUUCACUUGUGUAGCAAACCAGGCUUCCAUUUUAAUAUUAGAAGUUUUACCAUACACAUCUCAUGCCAACACACAGGAGGCAUAAACAAACGCACCGACUUCUGCUCUCCAAGUCACAUGGCAAUAAAUAAGAGUAAGUCUUUUUUUGUUGUUAUUUUUUCUUUUUUUUUUUUCCAGGAAACAGGACUUUUCUUUAUUUUUAACUGUACAAAAUUUACACUGGGAAGAAUGAGGGCAACAAUCCAGAGCAAAGGGGAUCUGGGACUUUGAGGUCUGAAUGCAAACUCAGAGCAGCUUCCGGGAUUCUGCAGCCCUAAACGUGCUCAUUAAGCUGAACACAGUCCUCAAGCGGGAAAGUACAAUGUCGUCCUUAUCUCUAGGUGGGCAACAGGUGAGGGUGAGAGUGGGCGUGUCCUUGCCUUGUCCACCUGUGCUCUGCCUCUAAGCAAAGAAAUGCUUGGCGCACCUCCCAAACCCGCAGCCGUCUCCGCACCAGAGCUAGCAGCAUGAAACUGUGCUUUUAGUGUGGUCCUACCAAGCAGAGUGUGGAUGGGAUGACUUUGCUGAGCUCUCUCUUUUUGGCUCCAAUCACUGUGUUAGUGCAGUUGGAGCAACUACUGCAAAAAGGGCCAAUUGACCAAUCCAAGAAAGAGAGAGCCAGUGAUGUGCUUUUAUUUAGCUUUCAGUAUGCCCAGAGCCCGUCAGCAGCAGGUAAUAAAACAAAACUCA
rnacentral:lncRNA from 1 species